CACACAUAUACGCAGACACAUACACACAGACACACACAUACACACACACACACACACAUGUAUAUGAUGGUUAGCAGGCUGAAUCUUCGAAGCCACUAUCAAGACUUAUCUUCUCGACUUUUGUGCUCUACAAAAAGUCAUGAAUAAUCUUUCAAUUCAAGUUUUAGGUCGACCCAAGUUUUAUAAGUGAAACUGGAUUCAUGGGAACGGUGGCAGAGCGACAGAUUCUUUGUAUCCAUAAUUUCAAAGGCACAUACUGUGACAGAAAGAAUUUGCCUGAGAAAUACGUCCAAGAUGCUGACAUUCAGUCAAUUACAUUAACAUUCCACGAGAAAGAUAAAAUCAGGAGCGAAUUACAGAGAACCGAUGUUUUGGUAAAGAAAAAUUGGAUAUAGUUAUUAGUGAGGAGCCUGUUGAGAUGGACACAGCCAGAGUGAUGAAAUGGAGAGAGACAUGAAUAGGAUGGGAAUGUCUGAGUGGAUUUGGUACAAGCUCAAUCAGCUACACGGAACAGAGGCUGUUAUUGUUGGGAUCGAAAAAUACCGAAGACAUUACACUCAUUGAAAGUUUUUUUAACGACAAGCAAUCAAAUAUCCGUAUUGAAAAGAUGACACCUAACUCUCUACGUUGUUUCGCCCUUCUCUGCUUACUCGUCUGUGGUUCUGAGGCAUGGUUUGCAUUGGGGACUUGCGGUGAUAAACAUUACCAGAAGGAUCUUCAAAUCUGCUGCGGUGAAACUAUACACUUCGUAACAGGAAACAGCUUCUCGUGCUGUGGAGAAAACAAUUAUGACUUAAGUACCCAUAAAUGUCAAAAUGGAAAGAUCGUCGAAAGAGCAUGAUAUCCCAGAGAGAAACGAAUAUUAUGUUUAUUACUAUCUACAAAUGAUAUUCUAUUUGUAUUAAUUGCUAUAUUAAUCAAUAAAUAUUAAAUAUAUC
rnacentral:misc_RNA from 1 species